GCUGGGUGUCGUGGCGGGCGCCUGUAGUCCCAGCUACUCAGGAGGCUGAGGCAGGAGAAUUGCUUGAACCCAGGAGGUGGAGGUUGCAGUGAGCUGAGAUUGCACCACUGCAUUCCAGCCUGGGCAACAGAGUAAGACUCUGUCUUAA
ensembl:misc_RNA Metazoa_SRP Metazoan signal recognition particle RNA